rnacentral:rRNA from 1 species
AUACGGAGGGAGCAAGCGUUAUUCGGAAUCACUGGGCGUAAAGGACGCGUAGGCGGGUUUGGAAGUCAGGUGUGAAAUCCUACAGCUCAACUGUAGAACUGCACUUGAAACUACAGACCUAGAGUAUGGAAGGGGCAGAUGGAAUUAGUGGUGUAGGGGUAAAAUCCGUAGAUAUCACUAGGAAUACCGAAAGCGAAGGCGAUCUGCUGGGACAUUACUGACGCUGAGGCGUGAAAGCGUGGGGAGCAAACAGGAUUAGAAACCCGAGUAGUCC